rnacentral:rRNA from 1 species
AGAGUUUGAUCAUGGCUCAGAUUGAACGCUGGCGGCAGGCCUAACACAUGCAAGUCGAGCGGUAACAGGAAGAAGCUUGCUUCUUUGCUGACGAGUGGCGGACGGGUGAGUAACGUCUGGGAAACUGCCUGAUGGAGGGGGAUAACUACUGGAAACGGUAGCUAAUACCGCAUAACGUCGCAAGACCAAAGAGGGGGACCUUCGGGCCUCUUGCCAUCGGAUGUGCCCAGAUGGGAUUAGCUAGUAGGUGGGGUAACGGCUCACCUAGGCGACGAUCCCUAGCUGGUCUGAGAGGAUGACCAGCCACACUGGAACUGAGACACGGUCCAGACUCCUACGGGAGGCAGCAGUGGGGAAUAUUGCACAAUGGGCGCAAGCCUGAUGCAGCCAUGCCGCGUGUAUGAAGAAGGCCUUCGGGUUGUAAAGUACUUUCAGCGGGGAGGAAGGGAGUAAAGUUAAUACCUUUGCUCAUUGACGUUACCCGCAGAAGAAGCACCGGCUAACUCCGUGCCAGCAGCCGCGGUAAUACGGAGGGUGCAAGCGUUAAUCGGAAUUACUGGGCGUAAAGCGCACGCAGCGGUUUGUUAAGUCAGAUGUGAAAUCCCCGGGCUCAACCUGGGAACUGCAUCUGAUACUGGCAAGCUUGAGUCUCGUAGAGGGGGGU